CAGCAGGCGCGAAAACUCUACAAUGCAGGCAACUGCGAUAGGGGAACAUCGAGUGAUCCUCAUAUUGGGGGUCUGUCCACCCGUCUAAAAAACGGGUGUUAGCAAGGGCCGGGCAAGACCGGUGCCAGCCGCCGCGGUAAUACCGGCGGCUCGAGUGGUGGCCGAUAUUAUUGAGUCUAAAGGGUCCGUAGCCGGCUUUGCAAGUCUCUCGGGAAAUCCAGCGGCUUAACCGUUGGUCGUCCGGGGGGUACUACAUUGCUUGGGACUGGGAGAGGUAGGAGGUACUCAGGGGGUAGGAGUGAAAUCCUGUAAUCCUUUGGGGACCACCGGUGGCGAAGGCGUCCUACCAGAACAGGUCCGUCGGUGAGGGACGAAAGCUAGGGGCACGAACCGGAUUAGAUACCCGGGUAGUCCUAGCCGUAAACGAUGCUCGCUAGGUGUCACAACAGUCGUGAACUGUUGUGGUGCCGUAGGGAAGCCGUGAAGCGAGCCACUUGGGAAGUACGACCGCAAGGUUAAACUUAAAGGAAUUGGCGGGGGAGCACAAGG
rnacentral:rRNA from 1 species